UUAANUUCGGGGUGGCAGGCGAUACGGGCAUAACUAGAGUGCUGUAGGGGAGACUGGAAUUCCUGGUGUAGCGGUGGAAUGCGCAGAUAUCAGGAGGAACACCGAUGGCGAAGGCAGGUCUCUGGGCAGUAACUGACGCUGAGGAGCGAAAGCAUGNGGAGCGAACAGGAUUAGAUACCCUGGUAGUCCAUGCUGUAAACGGUGGGCGUUAGGUGUGGGGACCGGUUUGGUUUCUGUGCCGUAGCUAACGCAUUAAGCGCCCCGCCUGGGGAGUACGGCCGCAAGGCUAAAACUCAAAGGAAUUGACGGGGGCCCGCACAAGCGGCGGAGCAUGUGGAUUAAUUCGAUGCAACGCGAAGAACCUUACCUGGGUUUGACAUGCACCAGACGGUUGUAGAGAUACGUACCUCCCUUUGUGGUUGGUGUGCAGGUGGUGCAUGGUUGUCGUCAGCUCGUGUCGUGAGAUGUUGGGUUAAGUCCCGCAACGAGCGCAACCCUUGUCUUAUGUUGCCAGCACUUUGGGUGGGGACUCAUGAGAGACUGCCGGGGUUAACUCGGAGGAAGGUGGGGAUGACGUCAAAUCAUCAUGCCCUUUAUGCCCAGGGCUUCACACAUGCUACAAUGGUUAGUACAACGCGCUGCGAGCCUGUGAGGGUGAGCGAAUCGCUGAAAGCUAAUCUCAGUUCGGAUUGGGGUCUGCAACUCGACCCCAUGAAGUCGGAGUCGCUAGUAAUCGCAGAUCAGCAAUGCUGCGGUGAAUACGUUCCCGGGCCUUGUACACACCGCCCGUCACGUCAUGAAAGUUGGUAACACCCGAAGCCCAU
rnacentral:rRNA from 1 species